rnacentral:rRNA from 1 species
UACAGAGGUCCCAAGCGUUGUUCGGAUUCACUGGGCGUAAAGGGCGCGUAGGCGGCGUGACAAGUCACUUGUGAAAUCUCUGAGCUUAACUCAGAACGGCCAAGUGAAACUGUUGUGCUAGAGUGCAGAAGGGGCAAUCGGAAUUCUUGGUGUAGCGGUGAAAUGCGUAGAUAUCAAGAGGAACACCUGAGGUGAAGACGGGUUGCUGGGCUGACACUGACGCUGAGGCGCGAAAGCCAGGGGAGCAAACGGG